CAGAGGUGGCAAGCGUUGUUCGGAAUUACUGGGCGUAAAGGGCGCGUAGGCGGCCUUCUAAGUCAGACGUGAAAUCCCCAGGCUUAACUUGGGAACUGCGUCUGAUACCGGGAGGCUUGAAUGCGGGAGAGGGAUGUGGAAUUCCAGGUGUAGCGGUGAAAUGCGUAGAUAUCUGGAGGAACACCGGUGGCGAAGGCGGCAUCCUGGACCGACAUUGACGCUGAGGCGCGAAAGCCAGGGGAGCAAACGGGAUUAGAUACCCCGGUAGUCCUGGCCCUAAACGAUGAGUGCUUGGUGUGGCGGGUAUCGAUCCCUGCCGUGCCGAAGCUGACGCAUUAAGCACUCCGCCUGGGGAGUACGGUCGCAAGGCUG
rnacentral:rRNA from 1 species